UACGGGGGGGGCAAGCGUUGUUCGGAAUUACUGGGCGUAAAGGGUUCGUAGGUGGCCAACUAAGUCAGAUGUGAAAGCCCUCGGCUUAACCGAGGAAGUGCGUCUGAAACUGCUGAGCUUGAGUCUCGGAGAGGAUGGCGGAAUUCCGCAAGUAGAGGUGAAAUUCGUAGAUAUGCGGAGGAACACCGGUGGCGAAGGCGGCCAUCUGGACGAGCACUGACGCUGAGACGCGAAAGCGUGGGGAGCAAACAGG
rnacentral:rRNA from 1 species